rnacentral:rRNA from 1 species
AGUGAACGCUGGCGGUAGGCCUAACACAUGCAAGUCGAACGGCAGCACAGUAAGAGCUUGCUCUUACGGGUGGCGAGUGGCGGACGGGUGAGGAAUACAUCGGAAUCUACUUUUUCGUGGGGGAUAACGUGGGGAAACUUCCGCUAAUACCGCAUACGACCUACGGGUGAAAGCAGGGGAUCUUCGGACCUUGCGCGAUUGAAUGAGCCGAUGUCGGAUUAGCUAGUUGGCGGCGUAAAGGCCCACCAAGGCGACGAUCCGUAGCUGGUCUGAGAGGGUGAUCAGCCACACUGGAACUGAGACACGGUCCCGACUCCUACGGGAGGCAGCAGUGGGGAAUAUUGCACAAUGGGCGCAAGCCUGAUCCAGCCAUACCGCGUGGGUGAAGAAGGCCUUCGGGUUGUAAAGCCCUUUUGUUGGGAAAGAAAAGCAGCAGGUUAAUCCCCCGCUGUUCUGACGGUACCCAAAGAAUAAGCACCGGCUAACUUCGUG